rnacentral:rRNA from 1 species
CCUACGGGAGGCAGCAGUGGGGAAUAUUGCGCAAUGGGCGAAAGCCUGACGCAGCGACGCCGCGUGAGGGAUGAAGGUCUUCGGAUCGUAAACCUCUGUCAGCAGGGAAGCACGGUCACUGUGCUAAUCAGCAGUGAAUUGACGGUACCUGCAAAGGAAGCACCGGCUAACUCCGUGCCAGCAGCCGCGGUAAUACGGAGGGUGCGAGCGUUAAUCGGAAUUACUGGGCGUAAAGCGCUCGUAUGCGGUAUGUCAAGUCAAGGGUGAAAUCCCCGCGCUCAACGUGGGAACUGCCUUUGAAACUGGCAAACUGGAGUGUGUGAGAGGAUAGUGGAAUUCCAGGUGUAGGAGGGAAAGCCGUAGAUAUCGGGAGGAACAUCAGUGGCGAAGGCGACUAUCUGGCACAUAACUGACGCUGAGGAGCGAAAGCGUGGGUAGCAAACAGGAUUAGAUACCCGAGUAGUC